rnacentral:rRNA from 1 species
UACGUAGGGUGCGAGCGUUGUCCGGAAUUAUUGGGCGUAAAGAGCUCGUAGGCGGUGUGUCGCGUCGGUCGUGAAAACUUGGGGCUUAACCCUGAGCUUGCGGUCGAUACGGGCAUCACUUGAGUUCGGCAGGGGAGACUGGAAUUCCUGGUGUAGCGGUGAAAUGCGUAGAUAUCUGGAGGAACACCGGUGGCGAAGGCGGCAUCCUGGACCGGCAUUGACGCUGAGGCGCGAAAGCUAGGGGAGCAAACGGG